CAGGAAGAGGAGGAUUCCCCUGACACAAGGCUGCAGGGCUCACAAGCACUGACAAUUCACUCAUCAGUUUCAGGACCCAUGAAGACAGAGCCACAGAUUCCCCUGAACAGAAUGGCAAUUUUCGUGUGGUGUUAAUUUCCGUGGAAGAAGAAAAGGCUCGACUCUCUGUCCUAUUUUUCAUGAAUACUGGAAGUAGGGAAUAAACCUGGAGUCUCACGGGUGAAAAGAGACAUUUCCAUAUCACCAGACCACAAACGUGGGUGUUGAUUCUAAGGAUACCCCCAAUAAACAUCUUUCGUGCUAAAGCCCAUUCCAGAAUUUACUUCCCAGCUAUCUUUGAUGUUCAUAUUGUCAGAGGUGGUGGCCGCUGAAACAGGCAAAGACAUGGAGCAUAUCUUGGGUCCAGGACCUUGGGAGUCCAGAGGAAGGUCUUUUUACCAUCAGCAUUCUCUACUGUGUUCAAUGACUGUCAGCCAAAGAUGGCCAGCUUUCCUUCAGAAAGAAAUGCAUUCAAAGAACCUACAUUCACAACAUAAAGAAAUAAAGCCUGCACCUACAGAUCUACACACAUGCCCAUGCACAUGCAGGAAGUGUUCAUCUAAGACUGGACCUUUUAGAAGAAAGCUGGCAUACAUUCGUGAAGGCAUGGGCUUCCAGGCAUGUCAUCUUCACUCACGAAGCACACACAAGACCGCCAAGCAUUAAGAUUCUCCUGUGGAGCCAGGCUACAAUCCUUUAAAUGAAGACAGACAGCUAGGUGGCUGCAGCCCAGCGCUACACCUCACCCCUCCCUCAGUGUCAUGCAGAAAAAAUGUAUUCAGAACUCAGAAGUGAAGUUGUGCAAAUCCAUCAUUGACACUAGCUUCAAGGUUACCUCGGGGGAGCAGAAUGUACCCCUGCCAGAGAGCUGGAUAGAUGAUGAUGGGGACAGAAAUUCUGGGGGAGUUGUAAAUGGCAGCCACUGCCUCUAUAGGAAACCCAAAGGGAACACAGCAGAAGAGGAGGUGGUGGAGGAGCCACUGCCCUCUCGAAGGGUUCAAUGUCAUUCUGCAGACACAACCAAAUAACUUUUUCUUCCCUGCUGCUCCUCCAUUUGAAAUGACAGCCCCGAGCUCGCUUUUUCCUUGAUUGUGUAACUCUGAUUACAGACAAGGCCAAGGCAAUCCCAGGGCAUUACUACAAAGCUAAGGGGUCCCCAAAGAACUAAAGAGUCAGCUCCACAAAAAUCCCGAUUCCUAGCAUGAAACUGAAAUAUGAAACCAAACGGGCAUAGAAAAGGUAUGUGCAUUCGAAUCACAUAGCAGUGACUGGAGUCCUGAGCUGUGUCUGAAGACUGUGAGAUCACGUUUGGAGCUGCUGAUUGGUUUUCAGUGAUGGCCCUGUUGCACAGUGCCGUGAGACUUAGCUCCAUGGCCAAAGACGAUGGUAUCCCCUAGGAGCCCUGUGAGGUUGCUGCUGUUCUCUUAAGACACCAGGUAGCCAUCUGAUCCUCCCUGAGCAAACUAACUGGGCAGACAGGUUUAUUAAACCUCUGUUGGUCCGACUUACAUGAAACAAGAGAGUUAUUUUGUUGUUGUUGUUUUGUUUUGUUUUAAAUUAAACCUGUCUUUGGAGCCUCCUGCUCUUAGUUUACAAGUCUUCUUUGCACACUCUAAUAUUUUAAGAAGCAGCAAACAUUAACUGAGGGUCUA
rnacentral:lncRNA from 1 species